rnacentral:rRNA from 1 species
UUUACUGACUGAGUGGCGGACGGGUGAGUAACGCGUGGAUAACCUGCCUCACACAGGGGGAUAGCAGCUGGAAACGGCUGGUAAUACCGCAUAAGCGCACAGUACCGCAUGGUACAGUGUGAAAAACUCCGGUGGUAUGAGAUGGACCCGCGUCUGAUUAGCUUGUUGGCGGGGUAACGGCCCACCAAGGCGACGAUCAGUAGCCGACCUGAGAGGGUGACCGGCCACAUUGGGACUGAGACACGGCCCAGACUCCUACGGGAGGCAGCAGUGGGGAAUAUUGCACAAUGGAGGAAACUCUGAUGCAGCGACGCCGCGUGAGUGAAGAAGUAGUUCGCUAUGUAAAGCUCUAUCAGCAGGGAAGAUAGUGACGGUACCUGACUAAGAAGCUCCGGCUAAAUACGUGCCAGCAGCCGCGGUAAUACGUAUGGAGCAAGCGUUAUCCGGAUUUACUGGGUGUAAAGGGAGUGUAGGUGGCCAGGCAAGUCAGAAGUGAAAGCCCGGGGCUCAACCCCGGGACUGCUUUUGAAACUGCAGGGCUAGAGUGCAGGAGGGGCAAGUGGAAUUCCUAGUGUAGCGGUGAAAUGCGUAGAUAUUAGGAGGAACACCAGUGGCGAAGGCGGCUUGCUGGACUGUAACUGACACUGAGGCUCGAAAGCGUGNGGAGCAAACAGGAUUAGGUACCCUGGUANUCCACGCCGU